rnacentral:rRNA from 1 species
CAGCAGCCGCGGGAAUACGUAGGGUGCAAGCGUUAAUCGGAAUUACUGGGCGUAAAGCGUGCGCAGGCGGUUAUAUAAGACAGAUGUGAAAUCCCCGGGCUCAACCUGGGAACUGCAUUUGUGACUGUAUAGCUAGAGUACGGCAGAGGGGGAUGGAAUUCCGCGUGUAGCAGUGAAAUGCGUAGAUAUGCGGAGGAACACCGAUGGCGAAGGCAAUCCCCUGGGCCUGUACUGACGCUCAUGCACGAAAGCGUGGGGAGCAAACAGGAUUAGAUACCUCCGUAGUCCCUGUCUCUUAUAC